rnacentral:lncRNA from 1 species
GUGGGACUAAGAGGAAUACGUGUCUGUAUGACAAGAGAUAAGCUAUUCCUUUCAUUGUUCCAUCUAAUUCUGCCCCAACUUCACUGAGACCUACUAUGUGCCUCUCCAAGGACUGCUUUUGCUAAGCAUAAGCAGGACGCAAGAAAACAGAACAGUUCAGAUAAUUGACUUUAUUGUGCAAGCAUUCAGACAUGGGGGUGGAGAAUUUACACAGUCUGUGUGGGGCAGCAGAAGAUUGGGGUUGCAGGACUGUGAAGAAGGACUGACCAGAAGUACCAGCUCCAUCACAGACCCUAUCAGGUGCACUUGUGUUAGCAGGUACUCUCGAUAUCAAGUACCACCACUCCAGCUUUUCCCAGCUUUCAACAUUCUGCUUAAAAUAUUGAGCAGUGAAGUCUUUCUCGUGGGCACAUACACAGUUUUCCAGUUGUUCGUCAUGGGACUUGCACGGGAAAAUUCCAGUGGCAUUUGGAUGGCACCUCAUAGGUCUGGAUCUUCAGUUUCUGUCUGAAUGUGUAAAGAGCAUCUCCUUUAAAGUUCAUGAACGUGGAGAAUUUCCCUUGAAAGCUCUCUGUUCCUUUAUACUCCCAGAUUCUUCCACCACUACACAGGAGAGAUCAUGACUACAAAUGUGGUAUUAGCAGAAGGAAUGGAAGGACUCCUGAAGGAAACAACAUAUCUAAAUGUCUCAGUAGUAGAGAACAUAAUAAAGAACAACAG